rnacentral:rRNA from 1 species
UACAGAGGGUGCGAGCGUUGUCCGGAAUCAUUGGGCGUAAAGGGCGCGUAGGUGGCGACCCAAGUCGAUGGUGAAAGCUCGCCGCUCAACGGCGAGUCGGCCACCGAUACUGGGUUGCUGGAGCACUGUAGAGGCAGAUGGAAUUCCGGGUGUAGCGGUGGAAUGCGUAGAGAUCCGGAAGAACACCGGUGGCGAAGGCGGUCUGCUGGGCAGUAGCUGACACUGAGGCGCGACAGCGUGGGGAGCAAACAGG